AAUAAUAAUAAUCUAUAUAUUGUAAAAAAUAUAUGGUAUAUUACAUUUAAGGUUCAAUAUGACAUAAAAUAUUUAUAUUAAUUUAUUUAGAAUAAUGAUUUGUUUUUUUAUCUUUGUUACAACAUUUAUAAUGGUAUAUAUUAACUUAACAAUAUAGACACAUUUUUGUUCAAGCUAAAAUAUUUUUAACUACAAUUCUAUUAAAUUAUAGCUUUUUCAUAGUUAUAAAAUUAAUUUGGUUCUAACAUUAAGUAUGCUUUAUGCUUGUUAGACUAGUCCAUAUUUUAAUCAAUGGCUGCUUGCUUUUAACCGAUUACACCAUCUGGUGAAGUACACAAUAAAAAACUUUCCAAGCUCCUUCAAAAAUUGCAAAGCAACCUCAACGGAGACACCUAUGUAAAGAAAAAUGUGUAAAAAAGGUUUACAACACUAAUAUAUAUAUAUAUAUAUAUAUAUAUAUAAAUAUAAGAGAGCGAGAGAGAGAGAGAGAGAGGAGAAAAUUUCAUAAUGGGCAAGAUCAUCCAUCUAACAUGUUAGCGAAUAUUUGUUCGUUGACUCUGGUCAUCCCACAGAAAGGUGCAACGAGUUGUUGGCCCAAGUUGCUUGGAGUGGAGAGCCCAAUGUCACUGGACCUUACAAUCUUAAACCUCUUUUUAAAUUUUAGUUUGAUUUCCAUAAGACUAACGCUAAGAUAUAACUCCUACAUAUAACCGCCUACUUAGUUGUUAUCUAUAUUAAGCAAAACUAACCUAUAAAAAUGUUAAAGAAAUAAUAAAUUGAGGGAGGCAAGUUGGCCUAAUGUAAAUCCGCCCAUGGGACUCCUUCAUACAUAUUCUGUCCAACAAUUCGUAGAGACGGUGAUAGGCAGCCUAACCCAAGUCAUCAAAGAAAUAUAUAAGGUUAGAGCAAGGAAAAUCCCAAGCCUGUGGCCUGCAUUGGAGGACCCUAUUUCACUGGACCAUACAAUCUUAAAGCCCUUUUUGAAUUGUAGUUUGAUUUCCAUAAAGACGAUGCUCAUAUGUAACUCCCAUAUAUUACUUUGUGCUGUUUAUCCCCCCCCCC